rnacentral:rRNA from 1 species
UACGUAGGGGGCUAGCGUUGUCCGGAAUCAUUGGGCGUAAAGAGCUCGUAGGCGGUCUGUUACGUCCGCUGUGAAAACCCAGGGCUUAACCCUGGGCUUGCAGUGGAUACGGGUAGACUAGAGGCAGGUAGGGGAGAAUGGAAUUCCCGGUGUAGCGGUGAAAUGCGCAGAUAUCGGGAGGAACACCGGUGGCGAAGGCGGUUCUCUGGGCCUGACCUGACGCUGAGGAGCGAAAGCGUGGGGAGCGAACAGG